rnacentral:rRNA from 1 species
AAUAGUGCACAAGGUGCGAAAGCCUGAUGCAGCAACGCCGAGAGAGGGAUGGAGGCCCGCGUUACGCAAAGCUCUUUGAUCAGGGACGAUAAUGACAGGACAGGAAAACCAAGCCACGGCGAACUACGUGCCAGCAGCCGCGGUAAUACGUAGGUGGCGAGCGUUGUCCGGAAUUACUGGGCGUAAAGGAUGCGUAGGUGGAUACUUAAGUGAGAUGUGAAAUCCCCGGGCUCAACCCGGGAACUGCAUUCCAAACUGGGUAUCUAGAGUGCAGGAGAGGAAAGCGGAAUUCCUAGUGUAGCGGUGAAAUGCGUAGAUAUUAGGAGGAACACCAGUGGCGAAGGCGGCUUUCUGGACUGUAACUGACACUGAGGCAUGAAAGCGUGGGUAGCAAACAGG